rnacentral:rRNA from 1 species
GGGGAAUAUUGCACAAUGGGGGAAACCCUGAUGCAGCGACGCCGCGUGAAGGAAGAAGUAUCUCGGUAUGUAAACUUCUAUCAGCAGGGAAGAAAAUGACGGUACCUGACUAAGAAGCCCCGGCUAACUACGUGCCAGCAGCCGCGGUAAUACGUAGGGGGCAAGCGUUAUCCGGAUUUACUGGGUGUAAAGGGAGCGUAGACGGAAGAGCAAGUCUGAUGUGAAAGGCUGGGGCUUAACCCCAGGACUGCAUUGGAAACUGUUGUUCUAGAGUGCCGGAGAGGUAAGCGGAAUUCCUAGUGUAGCGGUGAAAUGCGUAGAUAUUAGGAGGAACACCAGUGGCGAAGGCGGCUUACUGGACGGUAACUGACGUUGAGGCUCGAAAGCGUGGGGAGCAAAC